CACGGUGCAUCACUGAAAGGAAAGAAUUUUAGUUGGUACUCGCAACAAACUGAAGAGCAAGAAGAUAGGUCCUUUUCGAAUUCUUAAGCGCUGUGGUGAUAACGCUACCAGCUUGAUCUACCAGCAGAUUUGCAAAAUUCCUCUACCUCCAACAUCGCUGAUCUCCACAAAUAUAAUACUUUAGAUGCUUUUCUAACUUCUUCCUCUUUCCUCAUGGUCAAGUUUUCUCAAGGUGAGAGAGAAUAAUGUGGAACUUGAGACCAGAAGCUUUGUGGUCUGUGAUUUAAUUGCUACAACUUGAGCUUCAUAAUUUGGAACUAGGGAUUGUAAUGUUACCAUUGGUUUACUUUCAAAUUCAGUGGCACGGGUGUAGUUUUGUUUGUUAGUUCGUAGUUUUGUUUUUAAUCAAAAUGAUUUGUUUUGUAUUAGCUUGGUUAUCAAGCAGAGAAGGCCACGAGGCUAUGUUAGUUAUGGUGUUCUUGAGCUCAAUCAAGCACCCGUGUCAUUUAAAAGAUUUACCGUUGGUUGUAGGCAGCCACAUCAAUAAUUGAGGUAGUAACCAUGAUUGUACUGAACCAUUACAGAAUUCAACCAGGUCAGUAAUCAAAAUCUCCAAUAAAAAUACAUUCUUGAGUUGAGAGUAGACCUGGCCUUUGAAUGGAAUGGAAGCAAGAAUUCUGUCAAAAGCACGUUGUCAAUCAGUCAUGACCAAAACCAAAUAAUCCCUGUCAUAAGCAUCUCUAACCCGGAAGAGAGGUGGGCAAAUGUAAAUUUAAUUUUUCCGUCUAUAACAAAAUCUAGUGGUUGGUUACUUAGAAAUUUUAGUUAAACAAAACGUCAAAAUUAUCAAACUUUUUUUUCUUUACAUUUUAUCUUAGUAAUAAUUCCAGUUAAACAAAACGUCAAAGUUAUCAAACUUUCUUUUCUUUACAUUUUAUACCAUUAUUGCUUUGUUGAGACAGGAAACAGAAGCAACCCACUCCAAUUGAGGCCAAAAUAGUUGAACUAAUAGGGAAAAUACAUCCAUAACUUGGAAAAGAAAAAUAAAAAGAUCCAAAACAGACUCUAAUUAGCCGAACACUGAAGUUGAACAGAGUGAUCCACAAACAAACAGAGAAAAAAAUUAUUAAUUUAUGAAAAUUAUGGUUUUGAUUAGUUUUUACCUUGCCUCUGCUUUGGGAUUUGAGACCAGGAACCGCAAGGUGCAAAUUGGUUUCCGAAAUAUCAAAAUAAACAAAAUAAAUAAAAAUGGGAAAUAAGCGAUUUGUUUGGUUCUCAAAAUUUGAGCCAAAAAAAGAGGAAAAAAAAAAAAAAAGUGUGUGAAAAAGUAGAAAGCAGCCAACUUUUAGUCCGUGAUAGCUUAUUAUAAACCAUCUAUUGCCGAGCCCCCAUGGUGCGAACAGAGAGGGCUAAUGGUUGACCAUUAAACGGUGGUUCAGUCGCCGCCGAUGUGCCAUUUGAAAGAGAAAGCAAAAAAGCGUAGAGGGAGAGAAGAAACGUAGAGAGCGAUAGAGUGAGAGACGAUGAGUUCGCUUAUAAAUUAGGAAAAAAUAAAUUAGAAUCCCUGCUCCUUGAUAAUUUUCCCGCGGAAGUGUGAGAAAAAAAUUGGACAGUAUUUUUGUAAUAUAUUUUCUUUCUAAGGGUUCUACGCUGUUGUUCUUGUUUCACAGCUUCUCCAAACCCAGAACUGAUGAAAAAGGACAAGCUGUCCAUCUCAUCCGCUUUCCAAUUUGUAUGCACUCCAAGAGUGUGGAAUUGGGGAUGGCUUAGAAGGACAUUGCAAGAUUGAAGAUUGCAGAUUUGAAAAGCAGACAUGGCUUUAUUAAAUAUUUAAUUUAGGAAUAAAAAUUGUUCUUACCAAAUAAAGAGGAUUGAUUAUAAAUACUGGGUGGUUACAAAAUGUUUGUGGUUCUGAUUUGUAAAGUUUAAAUAUUCAUAUGGUGGCCCUUUGGAGUUUGGAGGUUGUGUUAAGGAUUGGAUUCCAGAAGAAGGACCUUUAAUCCAAAUAUUACAUAGAUAUGUUUAAAUUUUGAUGGAUGGAGUGCUAUUACUACUUGCUAGUACUAUGAUUAGCAUGGUUUAUGAAAUUUUUCUUUAGAAUAUUUUUAGUGGUAAAGGUAUUGAAGGGCUAAUAUAGGGGCCAACUGUGUCUGCACUCCUACAGGGUUGCAUAUUAUUUUGUACUCUUUUCUCUUGCAGCAAACUCAAACUUUAGGUUUGUAUUUGUGAUGAAUGAGUGUAUCUUUGCAUUUUUCACGA